GACUAACAAAGAUCCUUAUUACAAUUAUUUAUUUAUUAUUUUUUUGAAAACAUGGUAUCCGGUCUUAGAACCGACUAAUCCAAAUUAUUACAAUUAUUUAUUUAUUUUUUUUUUAAAAACAUGAUAUCCGGUCUUAGGACCGACUAAUCCAAAUUAUUACAAUUAUUUAUAGCUGCCUCAUUACACAAAGUCCUUCAACAUAUUGUUUGUUUUACCAUCAAUUUCAUUUCACUACUAAUAGAAUUACUUUCAUUCAUAUCCUAUGGGCUUCAUUACAUAACGACAUCUACAAUGACGAGUAAUGCAUGUUGGAACCGUAAGACCAUGGCACUUAAAUUUUUCACAAUCACUGCUAAAUUGGCAAAUUAAAUCCACCAUUUCCUGUGAUCCUGUAAUAUAAAGAAAUAUAUAUUAUUAAAAGUGGUGAAUUAUUUUGUAUAAGAUAAACAACAUAGUUCAAAAGGAUUCAAACAAUUGUUUACCAGCAACUUCAACCACUACAUAAGAUAAGGAAAUAAAGAAGAUCAUUAAAUAAAUAAACUUUAUAAUUUCAGCCAUAUUUUUCUUCCUAAUUAAGCUUACAACAGAUAGAAAUGUAUUGAUCACUUUAUAUUUUAAAAGUACUAUGUUUUGUUUAUUUGAUUCAAUUUGUUGUACUUAUAUAGAUCUUUAAAAAAACUUCUUAGAAUUAG
rnacentral:lncRNA from 1 species